rnacentral:rRNA from 1 species
AACGAACGCUGGCGGCAUGCCUAACACAUGCAAGUCGAACGAGACCUUCGGGUCUAGUGGCGCACGGGUGCGUAACGCGUGGGAAUCUGCCCUUGGGUCUGGAAUAACAGUUAGAAAUGACUGCUAAUACCGGAUGAUGACUUCGGUCCAAAGAUUUAUCGCCCAGGGAUGAGCCCGCGUCGGAUUAGCUAGUUGGUGGGGUAAAAGCUCACCAAGGCGACGAUCCGUAGCUGGUCUGAGAGGAUGAUCAGCCACACUGGGACUGAGACACGGCCCAGACUCCUACGGGAGGCAGCAGUGGGGAAUAUUGGACAAUGGGCGAAAGCCUGAUCCAGCAAUGCCGCGUGAGUGAUGAAGGCCUUAGGGUUGUAAAGCUCUUUUACCCGGGAUGAUAAUGACAGUACCGGGAGAAUAAGCCCCGGCUAACUCCGUGCCAGCCGCCGCAGUAAUAC